AGCCCAGAUCGUCAGCUAAGGUCCCUAAAUGUAAGUUAAGUGGUAAAGGAUGUGGGAUUGCACAGACAACCAGGAUGUUGGCUUAGAAGCAGCCACUCAUUCAAAGAGUGCGUAAUAGCUCACUGGUCGAGUGAUCCUGCGCCGAAGAUUUCCGGGGCUAAAACUUACUACCGAAGCUACGGCAUCAUUAUGAUGGGUAGGGGAGCUUCCCAUACGGGUUGAAGCAUGACCGUAAGGACAUGUGGACAGUAUGGGAGUGAGAAUGUUGGCAUGAGUAGCGAGAUGUGGGUGAGAAUCCCACAGGCCGUAAACCCAAGGUUUCCAGGGGAAGGUUCGUCCGCCCUGGGUUAGUCGGGAC
rnacentral:rRNA from 1 species